CUUGCUUUGAAAGCUUUUUUUAAAUUUUUCUUUUUUCUUCUUCUCCCUACAUGAAAAGGAAGUUUGGGAAGAAGAGAAGAGAAAAAGGAAAUGGCUGCAAGAAGAUAAAAU
rnacentral:ribozyme from 14 species